UACAGAGGGUGCGAGCGUUGUUCGGAAUUACUGGGCGUAAAGCGCGCGCAGGCGGAUCCUGCAAGUCUGGAGUGAAAACUCACAGCUCAACUGUGGGCGUGCGGGCGAUACGGGCAGACUGGAGUACUGCAGGGGAGACUGGAAUUCCUGGUGUAGCGGUGGAAUGCGCAGAUAUCAGGAGGAACACCGGUGGCGAAGGCGGGUCUCUGGGCAGUAACUGACGCUGAGGAGCGAAAGCGUGGGGGAGCGAACAGG
rnacentral:rRNA from 1 species